rnacentral:pre_miRNA from 1 species
AAUAAACCAACUUUUCGCAUUUUAUCUACAAUUUUUUACUCUUCGUCUUAUUCGAAUUUUUUAUACGAUUGAUAUUUUUGUUUUUAUUAGAUAAUAAAUUAUGAAUAGUACUGUACGUGUGACUAAUUUUUUCUAAUUUCUUAAAAAAAUUUUAAAUAAGACAAAUGGUCAAACGUUAGACAAAAAAUCAAAG